GUAAUUGUUAUGAAUCAGCAAAAAGUUGGGGGGAAGCAAAAGGGGAGAAAAAUGUGGUAUAAAAAUAGAAACAAAAUUGUCACGUAAAUAGAAAGUUAAAGAUUUCUAACCAGAAGCAUUUUGGUUUUCACAUGGAACACUGCUAUGAGACUUGACUGAUGAAGUCACCAUUACAUAAUUUCAAGCCCACUGGGUGUUUCUUGGUUCCUUCCAAGUUUCCAAGAGAAUCCUCAGCCCUGCCUGGUCCAGUAGGGCCAUCACCCGAUAAGUUCCAGUUUCAAGGCCCAAAGCCUCAGAUUUCCAAGCAUUAUCUCAUACUGAUAGCCGAAGGGAUGGGAAAUGGAAAACAUAGACAGGGGCUCCCCUCCUGUGCAACAGACAUUCUACAUUUCCCAAAAGACUUCUAGAAGCCAGCAGUUGCUUUGUGCAGUAAUAACCUGCAGGAAUGACUAUCUGUCAGAGUGUGAGUCCCCUUCUGACACGUCAACACCAGAGAGACAUGGCUUACUUGCAGGGCUAGGCGCAAGGAGUUUGCUGACAAGGCUUUUAACAAAAUAAUAACUAAUCAGACAUGUCCGUAUUUCAUGUAGCCAUUCUUGUAAGCAGAUCUCAGUGCAAAAAUGUUUAUGCAGAAGAUCAGAUUACAGGAUCAGCAAGAAGCCAGCUGGUCAAGGCCAUGCAACUCUUGGUGCAAGGUGAAUACAGAGGAAGCGGCAUUCUGUGCCUCAGAGAGUAUGUCCCCAAGCUCCUACUGGUGUCACUGAAGCAAUUUGUGUACAAGAACAAAUGCCGACAAAUUGAUCACAGCACCCAGAAUCUGGUUCUUAUCCGUGAGUGUAGCAUGGAUUUUGGAGCACACUACAUGUUUUUAGGAUGAAGGACGAUCAGUACAUGGAAAGUGAAGAGUGUGCUGCAGCCACCCAGCACAGCAGAGGGCUGGCCUCACUGAGUAAGAUCUCAGGUUUCUAAAUGGCUUCUUCUACAAUAUCCCUGUGUUUAUCAUUCUCAGACAAGCUGGGAUUCACAUGAUGUUGACAACCAUAAUAUAUUCUCUGUAAAUUGCAAUUGGAUCUUUGAAUCUCCAGACAGUUGAGAAACUAGUUUCUCUCACCUGUUUAAUUAACCAUGUCAUGUUUUCCAAAGAGAAUUAAUUGUCUCAUUGAAGCAGUAAGGAGACUGAAAGGUUCAAAAGAAAAAUAAAUAUGAGUGUGUAGCAGAGUAAACA
rnacentral:lncRNA from 1 species